rnacentral:rRNA from 1 species
GAUGAACGCUGGCGGCGUGCCUAAUACAUGCAAGUCGAGCGAACGGACGAGAAGCUUGCUUCUCUGAUGUUAGCGGCGGACGGGUGAGUAACACGUGGAUAACCUACCUAUAAGACUGGGAUAACUUCGGGAAACCGGAGCUAAUACCGGAUGAUAUUUUGAACCGCAUGGUUCAAAAGUGAAAGACGGUCUUGCUGUCACUUAUAGAUGGAUCCGCGCUGCAUUAGCUAGUUGGUAAGGUAACGGCUUACCAAGGCAACGAUGCAUAGCCGACCUGAGAGGGUGAUCGGCCACCCUGGACCUGAGACACGUUCCAGACUCCUACGGGAGGAAGCAGUGGGAAAUCUUCCGCAAUGGCGAAAGCCUGACGGAGCAACGCCGCGUGAGUGAUGAAGGUCUUCGGAUCGUAAAACUCUGUUAUUAGGGAAGAACAUAUGUGUAAGUAACUGUGCACAUCUUGACGGUACCUAAUCAGAAAGCCACGGCUAACUACGUG